UCCAAUAGCGUAUAUUAAAAUUGUUGCAGUUAAAAAGCUCGUAGUUGAAUUUCUGCUGCAUUGCUUGUGUCCCUCUGGGUUCUGUGCAUGUGGCUUUUUUCGGACGGAGUUUCUUUGUCUGAAUGUUUACUUUGAGAAAAUUAGAGUGCUCAAAGCAGGCUUUCGCCUUGAAUAGUUUAGCAUGGAAUAAUAAAGUAGGACUUUGGUUCUAUUUUGUUGGUUUUAGGUACCAAAGUAAUGGUUAAUAGGAACAGUUGGGGGCAUUCGUAUUUAACUGUCAGAGGUGAAAUUCUUAGAUUUGUUAAAGACGAACUACUGCGAAAGCAUUUGCCAAGGAUGUUUUCAUUAAUCAAGAACGAAAGUUAGGGGAUCGAAGACGAUCAGAUACCGUCGUAGUCCUAACCAUAAACUAUGCCGACUAGAGAUUGGAGGUCGU
rnacentral:rRNA from 1 species